rnacentral:sRNA from 1 species
AAUCAGUAUAUAUUGUAAACCGGCUUGGUUUUAUGAUAGUACACAUAGGAAAGAAAAAAAAGCAAAAAAAAA